rnacentral:rRNA from 1 species
UUCCGGUUGAUCCUGCCGGAGGCUACCGCUAUUGGAGUUCGAUUAAGCCAUGCGAGUCGAGAGUCUUAGGGACUCGGCGCACCGCUCAGUAACACGUGGGUAACCUGCCCUAUGCUGGGGGAUAACCUCGGGAAACUGAGAGUAAUACCCCAUAGUUCACCACGCCUGGAACGGUGGGUGGAUCAAAGCUCCGGCGGCAUAGGAUGGGCCUGCGACGUAUCAGGUUGUAGGGGGUGUAACGUACCCUCUAGCCAUCAACGCGUACGGGUGUUGGGAGACAUAGCCCGGAGAUGGAUUCUGAGACACGAAUCCAGACCCUACGGGGUGCAGCAGGCGCGAAAACUUGGCAAUGCGAGCAAUCGUGACCAGGGAACUCCAAGUGGCUGGGGUAAUACCCAGUUUUUUCUUGACUCUUCAAAGGUCUUGGAAUAAGGGGUGGGUAAGGACGGUGCCAGCCGCCGCGGUAAUACCGGCGCCUCAAGUGGUAGUCGCUUUUAUUGGGCCUAAAACGUCCGUAGCCGGUCUGGUGCAUUCGUGGGUAAAUCAACCCGCUCAACGGGUUGAAUUCUGCGAGCGCGGCCAGACUUGGGACCGGGAGAGGUGUGGGGUACUCUCAGGGUAGGGGUAAAAUCCUGUCAUCCUGAGAGGACCACCUGUU